UACGGGGGGUGCAAGCGUUGUUCGGAAUCACUGGGCGUAAAGGGCGCGUAGGCGGCGUAGCAAGUCGGCUGUGAAAGCCCGGGGCUCAACCCUGGAGGUGCAGCCGAGACUGCGGUGCUCGAGGUCGGAAGAGGAGGGUGGAAUACCCAGUGUAGAGGUGAAAUUCGUAGAUAUUGGGUGGAACACCGGUGGCGAAAGCGGCUCUCUGGUCCGAAUCUGACGCUGAGGCGCGAAAGCGUGGGGAGCAAACAGG
rnacentral:rRNA from 1 species